GGGCGUGUAGCUCAGUGGGAGAGCGCUACGUUGACAUCGUAGAGGUCGCUGGUUCAAUCCCAGCCACGCCCACCA
rnacentral:tRNA from 1 species